rnacentral:rRNA from 1 species
CACGUAGGGGGCAAGCGUUGUCCGGAAUCAUUGGGCGUAAAGGGUGUGUAGGUGGCGCCGUAAGUUCCGUGUGAAAUCUCCCGGCUCAACCGGGAGGGUGCGCGGAAAACUGGCGGGCUAGAGUGCGGGAUGGGAGAGUAGAAUUCCUGGUGUAGCGGUGAAAUGCGUAGAUAUCAGGAGGAAUACCGGUGGUGUAGACGGCUCUCUGGACCGCAACUGACGCUGAAACACGAAAGCGUGGGUAGCAAACAGG